UCUCCGUAGGUGAACCUGCGGAGGGAUCAUUACUGAGUGAGGGCUCACGCCCGACCUCCAACCCUUUGUGAACCAAACUUGUUGCUUCGGGGGCGACCCUGCCGACGACUCCGUCGCCGGGCGCCCCCGGGGUCAAUCAAACACUGCAUUCUCUGCGUCGGAGUAUUAGUAAAUCUAAUCAAAACUUUCAACAACGGAUCUCUUGGUUCUGGCAUCGAUGAAGAACGAGC
rnacentral:misc_RNA from 1 species